rnacentral:rRNA from 1 species
UACGGGGGGGGGCAAGCGUUGUUCGGAAUUACUGGGCGUAAAGAGCUCGUAGGCGGUCUGUUGCGUCGGCUGUGAAAACCCGGGGCUCAACCCCGGGCCUGCAGCCGAUACGGGCAGACUAGAGUUCGGCAGGGGAGACUGGAAUUCCUGGUGUAGCGGUGAAAUGCGCAGAUAUCAGGAGGAACACCGGUGGCGAAGGCGGGUCUCUGGGCCGAUACUGACGCUGAGGAGCGAAAGCGUGGGGAGCGAACAGG